rnacentral:tRNA from 1 species
GGCCUCGUUGCUCAGCUGGUAGAUCACUCGCAGUCCUAAAGCGAGGGUGGUAACUAUGCGUGGUUUCGAAUCCCGCCGGGGCCA